ensembl:processed_transcript
UGGAAACCAAUUGGAAGACUUUGGUCUGUGAUGUAGAGGAAUGGGCAGAGGGUGAGGAAAUUCUUAUUAAUAUUACAUGUAGUCAUGAAAAAUUGUAACUGUUACUAGUAUUGUCAUUUUUUCAGUAGCAGAAGCAAAGACAACAAACAACAAAAGUGAUAUGGAUGUCUUCGUCAUAUGGCAUGACUCUGCUGACCCAGCAACAAAGAGGAGGGUGUUCAACAUCAUCCUGCUAGUCAGGAUUCUUCAGGAGAAGCAGAGGAUUCUUGUGGCAGAGAUGGCCAACCACUAUAAAUACCUUUCAACUCAUCCUGGUUCUUUCAAAGAACUUUCCUGCUUAUUUGCUUCUGAAAUGUACUGAUUCGACAUGUGGCCUAAACAAAGAGGGGUUAAAAGGUCUAUGGAUCAUCAUUCUCAGAAAGCAACAAAAUAACUGAGAAAUAAACAACAAUACGAUGGUGCAAUCUAGAGACCUGCAAGGUACCUGCAAGUUUUGGCUGGAGCAGAGAACAUACAUUUUUUUAAAUAAAGCUCCAGCUGAUGAGUAUGACAUUGACUGUGGAUUUUCUUUUACUGUAAUCCAGAAGAGGAUGACCUUAACCCUGAAUCUAAAGCAUGUAAUAAAAUCUGUAAAAAUAAAAUAAAAUUUUCAUCAUCUA